GCCAGGUGCAGCGGCGCAGGCCUGUAGUCCCGCUACUCAGGAGGCUGAGGCAGGGGGAUCACUUGAGCCCAGGAGUUCUGAGCUGUAGUGUGUUACGCCAGUCAAGUGUCUGCACUAAGUUAGCAUCAAUAUGGUGAUCUCCCACAAGUCAGGGGACCACCAGGCUGCCUAAGGAGGGGUGAAUUGGCCCAUGUUGGAAACUGAGCAGGUAAAAACUCCUUGGUGAUCAAUUGUGAAUAAAAGUACAGCAAAAUACUUUGCUUUGUGCCCAUAGUAAGUUUU
ensembl:misc_RNA Metazoa_SRP Metazoan signal recognition particle RNA